CUUGACAUUGAGGCCCUUGACACGGAGACUCUGUGGGAGCUUGAUCGUUUCGUGACCAAUUGGAAGAAGAUGGUGAGCAAAACUAAAAGGCAGGCGUUGAUCAACAAUUUGGGACAGCCACCAUCCGCCAGUGCUGCAGCUUCUGCUGCUACAACAACAUCCGUUGCAGAGGCUGAUGCGGUAAUAAUGCAGUAUUGCAUUUUUGUUAAUUCUUUUGAUUUGAUACAUACGCUGCCCCUAGUUGCAUUUAUCAAAUUGGUAAUGGAUGGCUAAUAAAAUUUGUUGCUGUGUUUGUUGCAGCCUAGUACAAGCGAGAAAAAUGACUCCUUUAAAAAGCCCAAAAAGGGGGGUGAUGCUGGAGAUGAGGAUGAUGUAGAGAUAGAGGAUGAUGAACCAGCCACCCACUUUCCUCCUGUGGAAAUUGACAAGGAUGAAGGUGGUGGUGGUGGUGGUGUUGGGCAAGAUCGUGAUAAUAAUGCUAGUAGUAGCUCCAGUAGUUCCAGCAGCUCCAGCAGUGAUUCCUCCUCUUCUAGUGGUAUAUAUAUAUAAACUACUCCAACUGCCAAAAAUGAUCCUUUUUGUUGUUCUGGCUCUCAAAUGAAGGCUUUGAUUAAUUGAACAUAACUUUUUUUGUGCAGAUUCUGAUUCAGGAAGUUCUUCAGGGAGUGACUCUGAUGCUGAUGAUGCACACUCUUGAGAUUUGUUGGUCCAAGCAUUGGCCGUUUUGUUUUUUGAGGUAUAAAGUCAGUGCCUCGAAUUGUCUUUCGAUGUUUUGCACAUUCCGCAUCUUGACAUUUGUUGGUUCAAGCGUUGGCCUUUUUUGUUUUUUGAGGUAUAGAGUCGGUGCCUCGAAUAGUCUCUUGAUGUUUUGCACAUUUCGCUGAGCUGAGAAGUUUGGAAGAACCUUUAUGCAGAGCUGUAACCACAUGGGCAGG
rnacentral:lncRNA from 1 species